rnacentral:rRNA from 1 species
GCUACCAUGCAGUCGGGCGAAGAAGCUCCUCCGGGAGUGGAUUAGCGGCGGACGGGUGAGUAACACGUGGGCAACCUGCCUCAAAGAGGGGGAUAGCCUCCCGAAAGGGAGAUUAAUACCGCAUAAAAGGUAAAUAUCGCAUGAUAAAUACCUUAAAGGAGAAAUCCGCUUUGAGAUGGGCCCGCGUCGCAUUAGCUAGUUGGUGGGAUAACAGCCCACCAAGGCGACGAUGCGUAGCCGACCUGAGAGGGUGAACGGCCACAUUGGAACUGAGAGACGGUCCAGACUCCUACGGGAGGCAGCAGUGGGGAAUAUUGCACAAUGGGGGGAAACCCUGAUGCAGCAACGCCGCGUGAGUGAAGAAGGUUUUCGGAUCGUAAAGCUCUGUCAUCCGGGACGAUAAUGACGGUACCGGAAGAGGAAGCCACGGCUAACUACGUGCCAGCAGCCGCGGUAAUACGUAGGUGGCGAGCGUUGUCCGGAAUUACUGGGCGUAAAGGGUGUGCAGGCGGAUAUUUAAGUGAGAUGUGAAAGACCCGGGCUUAACCCGGGCAGUGCAUUUCAAACUGGAUAUCUAGAGUGCAGGAGAGGAGAACGGAAUUCCUAGUGUAGCGGUGAAAUGCGUAGAGAUUAGGAAGAACACCAGUGGCGAAGGCGGUUCUCUGGACUGUAACUGACGCUGAGGCACGAAAGCGUGGGUAGCAAACAGGAUUAGAUACCCUGGUAGUCCACGCCGUA